rnacentral:rRNA from 1 species
AUGUGCUUGCAAACCAAGACUUUGUUGAGGCUUUUCUGCGGGGUCAGGGGAGACGCCAGUGAUCAAGCGGCAGUGGCCUACAGCCUAGGAGACCUGCACAAGGGAGCCGCCAAGAUCUCCAACGACAUCCUCGACUCUGUCGGGGUUUCAGUAUAUGCAACAACAGAAAAUUCGACAACAGUAUACGCGACAAAUGGUGCUAUUUGCUUUCGCUGCAAUCUCCUCAUACUUACCAGGGUUGAGUGCCCAACAUUCCCGAAGAUGGCACCCGAGACGUGUCCGCAGCCAGAACCAGCGAGGUUGCCGUAUGAGAUUCAGAUCUCUCUUGGAACAAUGAUCUUGGAGAGCAAAGCACAGAGAAAGAAUCCCAUGAUAUGCUCUCUUAUUCUUUUAAUCAUGGCAUCAACAUACUGGACACCGCAGAAAUUGCCGGCACAAUAUAUCGGUGUUUCCAAUGAAACCCUGUACGGAGUAAUGCAGUUUGUACAUGCUGCAAAGCUUGAUGGACUUCCAAAGAUUAUGAGCAUCUAG